UUUAAUUCGGGGUCGUGGUGUACAGAAAGGUUAGUCCCUGAGGUUCGCAGGAUGAAAAAGGGCUUCCAAUCGUGCCCCGAAAUGCUCUCCGAGUUUGAGUGUCCCGUUUGCUCUGAGCUUUCCCUGCAGAAUUUAAGUGUGGCCGCAAUUGGGAAAGACUGAAGGUAGAAAACUGGAACGGAGACUGGCGACUGGAGCAGAAUCCAGGGGCUUUAAAGUUUAACCUGAGUUCGAUCGAAAGCGACUACAGAAAAGAAGGUCCGGCGUCUGCCGUCCAUUCGACUCCGACCAGGGCUUCAAAUGCCUUUCUUUUCGUUUUUACCUCUGCGGCAGCGGUGAGAGGGACUCUGGAGCUGGCAAGGCAGGGGCAGAGGUGAGCGGCGGGACAGACACUCACCGGUUCCCCAACACCCGGAUUCUGAGGGCUUGCCAAGGGACCUGGCAUUCUACCCCCACCCACACCCCCAUUCCCAAUCUCUUUUUUAACAUUGCCUAAACGAAGAGGUGGGGAAAGGUAAUUGUUUGCUCCUUUGAAGGGUCACUUGUUUUCCAACUAAAGGAAGGAAUGGGUAGUGAAAAGUUUCUUUUCAGCUAACUUAAAAAUAAAACUGUUUAACCUGUAGAAUUUAUUCACACAGAAAGCUGCCUGACCCUUCCAGUUUAUAGUGUUCCCAGUGCAUCGGCUUUAGCCCUGGGGACAACACCCCCAGGGAGCAACACAUUUUCAAAACCACCCCCUCGGGCCUCAGGCUCUGAGCUUUCUCUGAGUGCCCCAGAAGGCGAGCGGAAUAGGAGGUGUAGAUGGAAGAGUGCACCCCAAACUGGGAGAAACUCAAGGCUGGAGAAGGCGUGCACAGUUCUCCAGUAGACAGGCAGGCGCUUAGAAGUUCUGUUUUCUUUGCGAUUGCUCUCUUUUCCUUUUCCUUUUCCUUUCCCCUGUCUCUUUCUCUUCCCCUCCUCCACU